UAGGGAAUCUUCCACAAUGGACGAAAGUCUGAUGGAGCAACGCCGCGUGAGUGAAGAAGGGUUUCGGCUCGUAAAACUCUGUUGUUAAAGAAGAACGUGGGUAAGAGUAACUGUUUACCCAGUGACGGUAUUUAACCAGAAAGCCACGGCUAACUACGUGCUAG
rnacentral:rRNA from 1 species